AAGAACACGCUACGAAGUAAUAAAGAAUGUGAUUGAUAAUAGGACAAACGAAAAGAAGCAGAAGAAGAAAAAAAAUGAGAAAGAAUAGAGAAAAAAAAGAAAAAAAUGAAAAAGAGUGAGAAAAGAAGAAUUUAAAUUUUUAAUUGUCUUAACUUCCAACCAAAAACUUGACAGUUAGCAAAAUUUUCUUAACGCACACAAUGAGAUUCGAACUCUGGACCAGACAGAAC
rnacentral:lncRNA from 1 species